rnacentral:rRNA from 1 species
AGAGACAGCAGUAGCCGCGGUAAAACGUAGGUCCCGAGCGUUGUCCGGAUUUAUUGGGCGUAAAGGGAGCGCAGGCGGUUUAGUAAGUCUGAAGUUAAAGGCAUUGGCUCAACCAAUGUAUGCUUUGGAAACUGUUAGACUUGAGUGCAGAAGGGGAGAGUGGAAUUCCAUGUGUAGCGGUGAAAUGCGUAGAUAUAUGGAGGAACACCGGUGGCGAAAGCGGCUCUCUGGUCUGUCACUGACGCUGAGGCUCGAAAGCGUGGGUAGCGAACAGGAUUAGAUACCCCAGUAGUCCCUGUCUCUUAUACA